rnacentral:lncRNA from 1 species
UACCCUUUUAUUCUCAAAUACCUCUAUUCUCUAAUACCCAUUCUCAAAUACCAUUUUAUUCUCAAAUACCUCAAUUCUCAAAUACUCCUAUUCUCAAAUACCCCUAAUCUCAAAUACCCUUAUUCUCAAAUACCCCUAUUCUCAAAUACCCCUAUUCUCUAAUACCCUUAUUCUCAAAUACCCCUAUUCUUGAAUACCCCUUUAAUCUCACAUACCCAUAAUCUCAAAUGCCCCUUAAUCUAAAAUGCCCCUAAUCUCAAAUACCCAUUAAUCUCAAAUACUCCUAAUCUCAAUUACUCUUUAAUCUAAAAUACUAUUCAAUCUCAAAUGACCCUUAAUCUCAAAUACCCAUAAUCUCAAUUACCCUUUAAUAUAAAAUACUAUUCAAUCUCAAAUGCCCCUUAAUCUAAAAUACCCUUUAUAUGCUCUUAAUCUCAAAUACCUCUUAAUCUAAAAUAUCCUUUGAUCUCAUAUGCUCCUAAUCUCAAAAGCUCAUAAUCUCAACUACCCAUUAAUCUCAAAUACCCCUUAUUCUCAAAUACCCCAAACCCUUAAUCUCAAAUAUCCUUAAUCUCAAAUACCCCUUUGAUCUCAUAUGCCCCUAAUUUCAAAUGCUCAUAAUCUCAACUACCCCUUAAUCUCAAAUGCCCCUUAUUCUCAAAUACCCUCUAAUCCCAUAUAUCUUAAUCCCAUAAACCCAAAUCUCAAGUACCCUUUUAUUUCAUAUAUCCAUUUAUCUCAAAUACCUCUUAAUUCCUAAUCAUCAUGAUCCUCCGUACCCUAUUUCUGUUGUAUCCUAUACCUAAAGCCUUACAAAAUUAAAGAUGUAAAAGUUUUAAUAGAAUAUGUAAUAAUUACACAUAUUACUGAUAGUGAAUAUGUUUUGAACAAAAUGUUAAGGUGUGGAAAGGUUUAAAGAUUUAAUUGAGAAUGUAUAAAUGGGUUUAAAUUAGGCUCUAAUAAUUUGAACAAAAAAAGUGGAAUUCUUAAAAUAUUUUUAAUUGGAUAGAAAUGAGUCUACGAAGAGGGUAAUAAUCUUUAUAGAACAAAACAAAAUCCAUAUAAGUCUACGAAGAGGUAUAAGUAAGUAUAAAACUAAGCAAACUGUUAGAACUUUGAUUACGUUUUGUUUAUCAGUGAUACGCAAAAGUUUAAGAUCUUUGAGUACCUCUUUCGAUGGCGGAUUCUGCUUAAGCGAGCAAGAGAGACUCAGAGAUUGCGAGAGAAAAGGAUGGAAUGGAAUUUCGUCGUUCCAAGUCCCUUGUAACACAAGUAUCCCCUGCAAAAGUUACAUCAACACAAACAAAAUAGAGUUUUACCUUAUUCUUCUAGCCACAAAUUCACUUAAUUUUUCAAUUAACCCCAAAAGAAUCUACGGAAGUGAAGUGAAAUUGCAAGAGCAAAAACAAUUGAAAAUCACAACUUUGUCAACACCCAAAACCCUAAUUGAGAUUAGAAAAUAAUCGAGAAGGUGUUUCCGCAGGAACCCAGAAAUAGACAAAACCGUACCGAAAUCUGAGGACUUCAGUCACAGCGCCGCAGAUAAUCACCACAUGGGCAUCGUCGGAGAACCGCGUGGUGAACGUAACCUGUUUCUUGAAAUUAGGGUUUGACGUCUUUGAGUUCUUCUGGGGAUCGUCGGAGAACCGCGGUGAACAUAACCUGUUCUUCUUGUAAGAAGGAUCUGUUUUUGAAGAACGACCAUCACCAUACUUGGAGAAACUCUGCCGUUUCUUGAAAUUAGGGUUUGACGUCCUUGUGUUCUUCUGGGAAUCGCCAUGUAGAUAGAUCGAGGUUUCUAGGUAAAAUCAUGGUUUUUGAAUUUGAGAGGUUGGAGAAAGGAAGAAGAACAGAGUGAUUAAAGAAAGAAGUUGAUCAUUGUUAAAUGUUGGAGAAGAUCACCGUAACUUCUCUGUCGCCUUGCAAUUUUAGUAGUAACAUGCUUGUUUAUAAAGAAAGUCCACGUGUCCAUAUUUCUUUUUUUGUUUUUUUGGUAAAAAAAGAAAUUCAACAUAUGUUACCGUUGAGAUAUAAAAAAACAAAAAAGAGUCUUUGUUUUGAUUUUAAAUUUUUCCCCGAUGAGAUCAAAGUUAGACUGAGAGUAUAACACAGACCAACAACAAAGGAUCAAUCAUCGUCAUUUCAAGCCUCACUCGUUGACUGUUUUCAGUCCAUUUUUACCCUUGCCAGAUCUGAAACGAGGGCUGUCAUGCAAAGCAAUUGUGUUCUUGUUCUGAACUGUUCCGGUGCUGUGUCGGUUCCGGUUGGAAGCUGUCUUCGGAACCUCUUCGCGGACUGCAUCGCUGAAGCUUUUUCUCCGAGAAAGAAUGAGUUUGGCGACUUGGGACGGAUCAAAGGAAGCUAGAAAGUUACAUAACAUGCUACUUAAGUCACAAGAAAGAACAAUGCUAAGCUCUAAGCUAAGCAAAUAUAUACGAGUUGUGUUUCUAAAUAUACUUCUUGAGCUCAGGUUUCGCUGGAGGCGCCUCGUAGUAGUAGAAGUUGGGGACAGGUUUAGCCUUGAACUUGAGAUUCUUUCUUAGUUGUUUCAAAGCUGCUUCUUGUUCUUCCGGCAAAAACAUUGAUACGACUACAAGAUAUUGCAUUUAAUAUCAACAAAGAAGACACUAAAUUUAAAAUCAGUAAAUUUCAGAAAGAGUAGUCUUUCAAAUCUGCUUUGGAGUCGUCCAUAUCAAUCUCACCCAUGCAUUCUUCAGCAGCAGUAAGAGGAGGCAGUUUACGAGUCUUACGCUUCAAGUUGUGUUUGUGCCAAUCACUCUUACAAUGCUCUCUGUAUUGCUUAGCUUCCCCAACGAACGUGUGGCAAGUGCUGCACUUGGUUCCUUCUUCUUUCUUUGUACCCAUCUCUUGCUUCUGCAUUUUCUUGCUAAGUUCAACGACGGGAUCAAUAGGCAACAAGGGCUUGUUCGUCUGCAAUGCCAUAUCAUCGUAAUGAUCCAUGCUUGUGUCACCUUCAGCAUGAACUGAUACAGCGAGUAUCUCUUAGCUCCCCUGCAUAUUCCUCACAAGGGAAAUAAGUAAGAAGCUGACGUGGAGAGCGUUGUAACUGAUUCGGUUUGUGAGUUAGUUAUGGCUGUUAGUUGUGAAGAGAGUAGUAUAAAUACAUGUAAUAGAGUUCGAGUAAGAGGUUCGUGUUUCAUCAAUAUCUCAAAUACCCCUUUAAUCUCAAAUACCCUUUAAUCUCAAAUACCCCUAUUCUCAAAUAUCCCUUAAUCUCAAAUACCCAUAUUCUCAAAUACCAUUUAAUCUCAAAUAUCUCUAUUCUCAAAUACCCCUUUAAUCUCAAAUACCCCUAUUCUCUAAUACCCUUAUUCUCAAAUACCCAUAUUCUCAAAUACCCUUUAAUCUCAAAUACCCAUAUUCUCAAAUACCC